rnacentral:rRNA from 1 species
GAUGAACGCUGGCGGCGUGCCUAAUACAUGCAAGUCGAGCGAACGGACGAGAAGCUUGCUUCUCUGAUGUUAGCGGCGGACGGGUGAGUAACACGUGGAUAACCUACCUAUAAGACUGGGAUAACUUCGGGAAACCGGAGCUAAUACCGGAUAAUAUUUUGAACCGCAUGGUUCAAAAGUGAAAGACGGUCUUGCUGUCACUUAUAGAUGGAUCCGCGCUGCAUUAGCUAGUUGGUAAGGUAACGGCUUACCAGGGCAACGAUGCAUAGCCGACCUGAGAGGGUGAUCGGCCACACUGGAACUGAGACACGGUCCAGACUCCUACGGGAGGCAGCAGUAGGGAAUCUUCCGCAAUGGGCGAAAGCCUGACGGAGCAACGCCGCGUGAGUGAUGAAGGUCUUCGGAUCGUAAAACUCUGUUAUUAGGGAAGAACAUAUGUGUAAGUAACUGUGCACAUCUUGACGGUACCUAAUCAGAAAGCCACGGCUAACUACGUGCCAGCAGCCGCGGUAAUACGUAGGUGGCAAGCGUUAUCCGGAAUUAUUGGGCGUAAAGCGCGCGUAGGCGGUUUUUUAAGUCUGAUGUGAAAGCCCACGGCUCAACCGUGGAGGGUCAUUGGAAACUGGAAAACUUGAGUGCAGAAGAGGAAAGUGGAAUUCCAUGUGUAGCGGUGAAAUGCGCAGAGAUAUGGAGGAACACCAGUGGCGAAGGCGACUUUCUGGUCUGUAACUGACGCUGAUGUGCGAAAGCGUGGGGAUCAAACAGGAUUAGAUACCCUGGUAGUCCACGCCGUAAACGAUGAGUGCUAAGUGUUAGGGGGUUUCCGCCCCUUAGUGCUGCAGCUAACGCAUUAAGCACUCCGCCUGGGGAGUACGACCGCAAGGUUGAAACUCAAAGGAAUUGACGGGGACCCGCACAAGCGGUGGAGCAUGUGGUUUAAUUCGAAGCAACGCGAAGAACCUUACCAAAUCUUGACAUCCUUUGACAACUCUAGAGAUAGAGCUUUCCCCUUCGGGGGACAAAGUGACAGGUGGUGCAUGGUUGUCGUCAGCUCGUGUCGUGAGAUGUUGGGUUAAGUCCCGCAACGAGCGCAACCCUUAAGCUUAGUUGCCAUCAUUAAGUUGGGCACUCUAAGUUGACUGCCGGUGACAAACCGGAGGAAGGUGGGGAUGACGUCAAAUCAUCAUGCCCCUUAUGAUUUGGGCUACACACGUGCUACAAUGGACAAUACAAAGGGCAGCGAAACCGUGAGGUCAAGCAAAUCCCAUAAAGUUGUUCUCAGUUCGGAUUGUAGUCUGCAACUCGACUACAUGAAGCUGGAAUCGCUAGUAAUCGUAGAUCAGCAUGCUACGGUGAAUACGUUCCCGGGUCU